rnacentral:lncRNA from 1 species
GGCGUGGUGGCUCAUGCCUACAAUCCCAGCACUUUGGGAGGCCAAGGUGGGCAGAUCACCUGAGGUCAGGAGUUCAAGACUAGCCUGGCCAACAUGGUGAAACCCAGUCUCUACUAAAAAUGCAAACAAAUACAAAAAUUAGCCAGGUGUGGUGGUGGGCACCUGUAGUCCCAGCUACUCAGGAGGCUGAGGCAGGAUGAUUGCUUGAACCUGGGAGGCAGAGACUGGCCCAAACUGUGCCACUGCAUUCCAGCCUCGGCAAUAAAGUGAGGCUCUGUCUCAAAGUAAUAAAGUAAUUAAUUAAUUAAAUUAGAGGUUACCAGGGCUGGAGGGAGGAGAGGGGAAUGAGUAAUUGCUUAAUAGAUAAGAAUUUCGGCUGGGCGCGGUGGCUCAUGCCUGUAAUCCCAGCACUUUGGGAGGCCGAGGCAGGCGGAUCACAAGGUCAGGAGAUCGAGACCAUCCUGGCUAACACGGUGAAACCCCGUCUCU